GUAGGUGGCAAGCGUUGUCCGGAAUUAUUGGGCGUAAAGCGCGCGCAGGCGGUCCUUUAAGUCUGAUGUGAAAGCCCACGGCUCAACCGUGGAGGGUCAUUGGAAACUGGGGGACUUGAGUACAGAAGAGGAAAGCGGAAUUCCAAGUGUAGCGGUGAAAUGCGUAGAGAUUUGGAGGAACACCAGUGGCGAAGGCGGCUUUCUGGUCUGUAACUGACGCUGAGGCGCGAAAGCGUGGGGAGCAAACGGGAUUAGAUACCCUGGUAGUCCACGCCGUAAACGAUGAGUGCUAAGUGUUAGGGGGUUUCCCGCCCCCCUUAGUGCUGCAGCUAACGCAUUAAGCACUCCGCCUGGGGGAGUACGGCCGCAAGGCUG
rnacentral:rRNA from 1 species